rnacentral:rRNA from 1 species
UACGUAGGGCGCAAGCGUUGUCCGGAAUUAUUGGGCGUAAAGAGCUCGUAGGCGGUCUGUCGCGUCUGCCGUGAAAACCCGAGGCUUAACCUCGGGCUGGCGGUGGAUACGGGCAGACUAGAGGUAGGUAGGGGAGAAUGGAAUUCCCGGUGUAGCGGUGAAAUGCGCAGAUAUCGGGAGGAACACCGGUGGCGAAGGCGGUUCUCUGGGCCUUACCUGACGCUGAGGAGCGAAAGCGUGGGGGAGCGAACAGG